AUGCUUACUUCGUCAGCACAUAUACUAAAACUGGAAAAAUACAGAGAUUAGCCUGGCCCCUGUGCAAGGAUGACAUGCAAAUUUGUGAAGUAUUUUAUAUUUGU
rnacentral:snRNA from 1 species